UACGUAGGGUGCAAGCGUUGUCCGGAAUUAUUGGGCGUAAAGAGCUCGUAGGCGGCUUGUCACGUCGGGUGUGAAAGCCCGGGGCUUAACCCCGGGUCUGCAUUCGAUACGGGCUGGCUAGAGUGUGGUAGGGGAGAUCGGAAUUCCUGGUGUAGCGGUGAAAUGCGCAGAUAUCAGGAGGAACACCGGUGGCGAAGGCGGAUCUCUGGGCCAUUACUGACGCUGAGGAGCGAAAGCGUGGGGGAGCGAACAGG
rnacentral:rRNA from 1 species